rnacentral:misc_RNA from 1 species
UUUUUUUUUUUAAAUCAAUCAAUUCAAUUAUUGAACGGAGUAGCAAAGGUAACCAACAAUUUUACAAGUAUUUACAUUUAUACAAACUGUUGAUAGGAAAGGAGGAAUUAAACAGAACUUGCACACGGGGUGACACUGGAAGGAACCACAUAAUUAACAUAGCACGCUUACAAAUUUUCAAUUUAUUUUGCUCAUUGCAACGGAGUGGCCCUCUUCAGAGUGCCCUUAAACAGACUUUGCUAGUUGUGUGAACACCCUUUGCAGCAAGUUUUAGUAUAGCUCGACUCCGAUAUAGCCCCCACAGGGUAAGUCCCCAGGUAGCCAAGGUAUAAAACAGCUGUCCUGCAUGCCAAAUAUCUAUCAUCUUCCCAUAUUUGCACAUCCCACCUAAUGCUUUUGCCACAGUCUUCUGCAACUCCUCUGGUGUCAUAUUCUUAGACUUUGGAUUUGACACGAUGCAUUUAGCUAUGAAGUUGGCAACCCCAUCCACCACAUGUUCCUCAGUAACAACUACAUAAUUUUCAUCAUCAAUUCCACUAUGUUCUUCAACAUUGUUGGGAACCAUUUCUUCUGUGACCCAUACCCACCAACUAGGUUCAUCACAAGAGACAUUAAUCAGAAUUUCAGCAGAAUGAAUAUCAUCCCCUGUAGCUUCCUUGAAGGGGAAUUCAAUGAUAGUUUUGUUGGCUGAAGCCUGCUGAAGGGAUUUAAGUCG